AGCCUGCUGGUUUUUGAUGGUAGGUGUUUUCUGCCCGGUGUAGGUUUAAACGGCCGCGGUAUCUUGACCGUGCGAAGGUAGCAUAAUCGUUUGUUCUUUAAUUGGGGACUGGAAUGAAUGAAAGUUUGAGGGCUUGACUGUCUACUCCUCUGUGUUAGAAUUUGCUGUUUUUGUGAAGAAGCAAAGGUUUCUGAAAAAGACAAGAAGACCCUAUUAAGCUUUACUCUUUUAGCCAUUUGUGCAAGGGCCCUUGGGCAUGUUGGGUGUGGUUAGAGAGUUUGGUUGGGGUGACUAAAGAAGAUGGGAUCUUCUUUUUUUUGUUUAACUUUUGGUUGUGUUUAUGACCCAGUAGAGUGCUGGUUGAUGGAAUUAGUUACUAUAGGGAUAACAGCGUAAUCUUUCCGGAGAGUUCUUAUUGAGGGGAGGGGUUGCGACCUCGAUGUUGACUUGCUUUUUCCUUUUAAGGUGCAGGGGCUGUAAGGGUUGGUCUGUUCGACCAUUAAAAUAGC
rnacentral:rRNA from 1 species